CCCGUCUUAGCGUAGCCUGGUUAACGCGUCCGCCUGUAGAGCGGAAAACCCCCCGUUCAAAUCGGGGAGACGGGA
rnacentral:tRNA from 1 species